rnacentral:pre_miRNA from 15 species
UUUCCUCAUGCAGUUCAAAUUGACUCUAGUAGGGAGUCCUUUUUUUUAACGACUCCCUAACGGAGUCAGAUUGAAUUUCAGAGGACCCAGACAAC